rnacentral:rRNA from 1 species
GAUGAACGCUGGCGGCGUGCCUAAUACAUGCAAGUCGAGCGAACAGAUGCGGUGCUUGCUCCUCUGACGUUAGCGGCGGACGGGUGAGUAACACGUGGAUAACCUACCUAUCAGACUGGGAUAACUUCGGGAAACCGGAGCUAAUACCGGAUAAUAUAUUGAACCGCAUGGUUCAAUAGUGAAAGACGGUUUUGCUGUCACUUAUAGAUUGAUCCGCGCCGCAUUAGCUAGUUGGUAAGGUAACGGCUUACCAAGGCAACGAUGCGUAGCCGACCUGAGAGGGUGAUCGGCCACACUGGAACUGAGACACGGUCCAGACUCCUACGGGAGGCAGCAGUAGGGAAUCUUCCGCAAUGGGCGAAAGCCUGACGGAGCAACGCCGCGUGAGUGAUGAAGGUCUUCGGAUCGUAAAACUCUGUUAUUAGGGAAGAACAAGUGUGUAAGUAACUAUGCACGUCUUGACGGUACCUAAUCAGAAAGCCACGGCUAACUACGUG